rnacentral:rRNA from 1 species
UAGCACAGAGAGCUUGCUCUCGGGUGACGAGCGGCGGACGGGUGAGUAAUGUCUGGGAAACUGCCUGAUGGAGGGGGAUAACUACUGGAAACGGUAGCUAAUACCGCAUAACGUCGCAAGACCAAAGUGGGGGACCUUCGGGCCUCAUGCCAUCAGAUGUGCCCAGAUGGGAUUAGCUAGUAGGUGGGGUAACGGCUCACCUAGGCGACGAUCCCUAGCUGGUCUGAGAGGAUGACCAGCCACACUGGAACUGAGACACGGUCCAGACUCCUACGGGAGGCAGCAGUGGGGAAUAUUGCACAAUGGGCGCAAGCCUGAUGCAGCCAUGCCGCGUGUGUGAAGAAGGCCUUCGGGUUGUAAAGCACUUUCAGCGGGGAGGAAGGCGAUGAGGUUAAUAACCUUGUCGAUUGACGUUACCCGCAGAAGAAGCACCGGCUAACUCCGUGCCAGCAGCCGCGGUAAUACGGAGGGUGCAAGCGUUAAUCGGAAUUACUGGGCGUAAAGCGCACGCAGGCGGUCUGUCAAGUCGGAUGUGAAAUCCCCGGGCUCAACCUGGGAACUGCAUUCGAAACUGGCAGGCUAGAGUCUUGUAGAGGGGGGUAGAAUUCCAGGUGUAGCGGUGAAAUGCGUAGAGAUCUGGAGGAAUACCGGUGGCGAAGGCGGCCCCCUGGACAAAGACUGACGCUCAGGUGCGAAAGCGUGGGGAGCAAACAGGAUUAGAUACCCUGGUAGUCCACGCCGUAAACGAUGUCGAUUUGGAGGUUGUGCCCUUGAGGCGUGGCUUCCGGAGCUAACGCGUUAAAUCGACCGCCUGGGGAGUACGGCCGCAAGGUUAAAACUCAAAUGAAUUGACGGGGGCCCGCACAAGCGGUGGAGCAUGUGGUUUAAUUCGAUGCAACGCGAAGAACCUUACCUGGUCUUGACAUCCACAGAACUUUCCAGAGAUGGAUUGGUGCCUUCCGGAACUGUGAGACAAGUGCUGCAUGGCUGUCCUC